rnacentral:rRNA from 1 species
CGCGGCCUAUCAGCUUGUUGGUGGGGUAACGGCCCACCAAGGCUACGACGGGUAGCUGGUCUGAGAGGACGAUCAGCCACACUGGGACUGAGACACGGCCCAGACUCCUACGGGAGGCAGCAGUGGGGAAUCUUGCGCAAUGGGCGAAAGCCUGACGCAGCGACGCCGCGUGCGGGAAGACGGCCUUCGGGUUGUAAACCGCUUUCAGUGGGGACGAAAUUGACGGUACCCACAGAAGAAGCCCCGGCCAACUACGUGCCAGCAGCCGCGGUAAUACGUAGGGGGCGAGCGUUGUCCGGAUUUAUUGGGCGUAAAGAGCUCGUAGGCGGCUUGGUAAGUCGGAUGUGAAAUCUCCUGGCUCAACUAGGAGGGGCCAUUCGAUACUGCCAUGGCUUGAGUCCGGUAGAGGGAUGUGGAAUUCCCGGUGUAGCGGUGAAAUGCGCAGAUAUCGGGAGGAACACCAACAGCGAAGGCAGCAUCCUGGGCCGGUACUGACGCUGAGGAGCGAAAGCGUGGGGAGCAAACAGGAUUAGAUACCCUGGUAGUCCACGCCGUAAACGAUGGGCACUAGGUGUGGGACCUCAUUGACGGGUUCCGCGCCGUAGCUAACGCAUUAAGUGCCCCGCCUGGGGAGUACGG